UGGGGAAUAUUGGACAAUGGGCGGAAGCCUGAUCCAGCCAUGCCGCGUGUGUGAAGAAGGCCUUUUGGUUGUAAAGCACUUUAAGCGAGGAGGAGGCUACUUGGAUUAAUACUCUAGGAUAGUGGACGUUACACGCAGAAUAAGCACCGGCUAACUCUGUGCCAGCAGCCGCGGUAAUACAGAGGGUGCGAGCGUUAAUCGGAUUUACUGGGCGUAAAGCGUGCGUAGGCGGCUUCUUAAGUCGGAUGUGAAAUCCCUGAGCUUAACUUAGGAAUUGCAUUCGAUACUGGGAAGCUAGAGUAUGGGAGAGGAUGAUAGAAUUCCAGGUGUAGCGGUGAAAUGCGUAGAGAUCUGGAGGAAUACCGAUGGCGAAGGCAGCCAUCUGGCCUAAUACUGACGCUGAGGUACGAAAGCAUGGGGAGCAAACAGG
rnacentral:rRNA from 1 species